CAAAUCCUACGGGGCGCAGCAGUGGGGAAUAUUGCACAAUGGGGGAAACCCUGAUGCAGCGACGCCGCGUGAAGGAAGAAGUAUUUCGGUAUGUAAACUUCUAUCAGCAGGGAAGAAAAUGACGGUACCUGACUAAGAAGCCCCGGCUAACUACGUGCCAGCAGCCGCGGUAAUACGUAGGGGGCAAGCGUUAUCCGGAUUUACUGGGUGUAAAGGGAGCGUAGGCGGUGAUGCAAGUCAGAAGUGAAAGCCCGCAGCUCAACUGCGGGACUGCUUUUGAAACUGU
rnacentral:rRNA from 1 species